ACUCCUACGGGAGGCAGCAGUGGGGAAUAUUGCACAAUGGGCGCAAGCCUGAUGCAGCCAUGCCGCGUGUAUGAAGAAGGCCUUCGGGUUGUAAAGUACUUUCAGCAGUGAGGAAGGUGGGUAUGUUAAUAGCAUAUCAUUGAUUCGUGAUCUGCAGAAGAAGCACCGGCUAACUCCGUGCCAGCAGCCGCGGUAAUACGGAGGGUGCGAGCGUUAAUCGGAAUUACUGGGCGUAAAGCGCAUGCAGGUGGUUUGUUAAGUCAGAUGUGAAAGCCCGGGGCUCAACCUCGGAAUUGCAUUUGAAACUGGCAAACUAGAGUACUGUAGAGGGGGGUAGAAUUUCAGGUGUAGCGGUGAAAUGCGUAGAGAUCUGAAGGAAUACCGGUGGCGAAGGCGGCCCCCUGGACAGAUACUGACACUCAGAUGCGAAAGCGUGGGGAGCAAACAGGAUUAGAUACCCUGGUAGCUACGAGU
rnacentral:rRNA from 1 species